AAUAUGGAAGAUAUUUUUAUAAACAAACAAUAUUUUUAAAGAAAUAUAGCAAUCAAAUCAAAUACUGAAUAAGAAAUAAGCUCAAUACCACUAAUUUCAUUAUUACUAAUCUCAGCGUUACUAAUAUAUCCUAUUCAGUACUAUUCUUAUAUAUUCUACCAAACCACCCUAAGUGAUGCUCGAGUGAAGUUGCAUCAUGUCCUUCUGAUUCUUUGUCUUCUUUUAUAGGCUUUGUCUUUUUGUACCAUUGACACGAAUUUGAGGUCUUGAUUUGAGAGAUUAGAUCAUCCUGAUCUAAUUAUAUUUUGGUCUUAAGGAUAACUCAAGAGAUUUUUCUAUAUUUGCUUUGCUUGUGUGGAUCAUUUACUUCAUCUAGCCCAGAUCUUCUUUCUCCUGCUUUAUCAUAUACUGAUCUAUUCUGAUGGUAAAUCUUCUUUAAUUAAUUGAUUGCUAGAUUGAUUUUUUUUCUUCUUACCUGCAUGGAGGGCUUCAGUUUCAUUUUAAGUGAUAAUAUUUGAUUUGACCCAAAAUUAGAAAAGAAAAAAGAUUUUAAAAAUUUAUGAUCUGAAACAUUUCUUGACUAUCUAUAUGACUAUAAACGAUUUCACUAAAGAUAGAAAGAGAAUUUUAAAAUUUAAAUUUUCAAUUAUGAGAAAAUGACAUUAUGUUUGGAACGAAAUUAAAAAGGAAAAUGAGACCACAUAAAUUGAAAAGUACAAGUAGUAGAUAAAAAUUUUGGGACAUUAGAACAAUUUACAAUAUUCUUUUCACUAAAAGUUCCCAACAACAAUCCAAUAUAAAAGAUCAAGACAUAACAUCACUUGAUAAGAUAAUACAAUAGGUACUAUUACAUAAUACCAAUGGAAGAGACAAAUAAAUUAUGAUAUGUUUCACUUAAUUAAUGUGCUGAACUCACUUGAUCAUCAAAGUUCUUCAAAUUCCCUUUAGGAUUCUUCUCAAAUCUCUCAAUUCUAAAGUGCAUUAACUCCACAUCUUUUGUUUCUCCAUCCAUAACAAGAUCAGCCAAAAUUUUCCCCACAAUUGGUCCCAUUUUGAACCCAUUCCCAGAAAAUCCACCAGCAAUCACUACAUCCUCACCAAACUCCCCUCCAAGAAAAUCAAUCACAUAAUCCUCGUCCGGGGUCAGGGAGUACAUACACGACUGCGUCAUGACCGGCCUUGUGGAGUCCACGAGGCCUCCGAAUACCUCAUGGAUCCACUUUCUGAGUGGAUCCAGAGUCACUGUGGGCGCCCAGGUCCUUUCAGUCGGCUUGCAGGGGCGCCCACCAUGCACCGGAAUUUUAAUCAAUCCCGGGUACUCAAGCGACGGUGUGCCGUAUAUGUACGGCUCACCAUAGCUAGCAAAAGUUGGAAAACCAUUAUCAAUAGUGAAUUUUGACUCAUACCCUUGUUUAAUUUUCCAAUACAUCACAGUUGUCUCCAAAGGUUGAAUUGGAAGUACAACUCCUGACACAUUUUCAACUAACUUUUUCAUCCAUGGACCCACUGUCACAACACAUUUUUUACCCCAAAACUCCUCACCACUUUUCACACUAACCAAAACACCCCCUCUUAAACUAUCUUUGUUGAUUUCAACAACUUCCAUGUUGUCUUUCAAGAAUGCACCAUUCUUGAUAGCAAGUGUUUGAAACAUGGACACUGCUUUUGUAGGCUUAAUAACACCACCAUACUCAGUAACAACACCUAUUGAAUUCUCAGGCAAUUGGAUCAAUUGAUGAAAUUCUUGAACGACUGUGUGAUGAUCAACAACUCGAAAAGGGAUUGAGUUUUUCUCACAACUCGAUAUGACAGCUUUAAGAGCUUUGUGAUCAGAAGGUCCACAGUCAAACUGUGAAGUCUUGAAGUAG
rnacentral:lncRNA from 1 species